GGUUUAAUUCGAUGAUACGCGAGGAACCUUACCCGGGCUUGAAUUGCAACUGAAUGAUGUGGAGACAUGUCAGCCGCAAGGCAGUUGUGAAGGUGCUGCAUGGUUGUCGUCAGCUCGUGCCGUGAGGUGUCGGCUUAAGUGCCAUAACGAGCGCAACCCUUAUCGAUAGUUACCAUCAGGUUAUGCUGGGGACUCUGUCGAGACUGCCGUCGUAAGAUGUGAGGAAGGUGGGAUGACGUC
rnacentral:rRNA from 1 species